AGUGAACGCUGGCGGUAGGCCUAACACAUGCCAGUCGAACGGCAGCACAGUAAGAGCUUGCUCUUACGGGUGGCGAGUGGCGGACGGGUGAGGAAUACAUCGGAAUCUACUUUUUCGUGGGGGAUAACGUAGGGAAACUUACGCUAAUACCGCAUACGACCUACGGGUGAAAGCAGGGGAUCUUCGGACCUUGCGCGAUUGAACGAGCCGAUGUCGGAUUAGCUAGUUGGCGGGGUAAAGGCCCACCAAGGCGACGAUCCGUAGCUGGUCUGAGAGGAUGAUCAGCCACACUGGAACUGAGACACGGUCCAGACUCCUACGGGAGGCAGCAGUGGGGAAUAUUGGACAAUGGGCGCAGGCCUGAUCCAGCCAUACCGCGUGGGUGAAGAAGGCCUUCGGGUUGUAAAGCCCUUUUGUUGGGAAAGAAAAGCAGCAGGUUAAUACCCCGCUGUUCUGACGGUACCCAAAGAAUAAGCACCGGCUAACUUCGUG
rnacentral:rRNA from 1 species